rnacentral:rRNA from 1 species
UACGUAGGUCCCGAGCGUUGUCCGGAUUUAUUGGGCGUAAAGCGUGCGCAGGUGGUUUAUUAAGUCUGGUGUAAAAGGCAGUGGCUCAACCAUUGUAUGCAUUGGAAACUGGUAGACUUGAGUGCAGGAGAGGGGAGUGGAAUUCCAUGUGUAGCGGUGAAAUGCGUAGAUAUAUGGAGGAACACCGGUGGCGAAAGCGGCUCUCUGGCCUGUAACUGACACUGAGGCUCGAAAGCGUGGGGAGCAAACAGG